AGCAGCCGCGGUAAUUCCAGCUCCAAUAGCGUAUAUUAAAGUUGUUGCAGUUAAAAAGCUCGUAGUUGAAUUUCGGGGUCAGUGGGUUGGUCAUGCCACAGGUAUGUACUGAUCUUACUGGUUCCUCCUUCCUGAUGAACCGUAAUGCCAUUAAUUUGGUGUUGCGGGGAAACUGGACUGUUACUUUGAAAAAAUCAGAGUGUUUAAAGCAGGCUAACGCUUGAAUACAUUAGCAUGGAAUAAUGAAAUGGGACGUUCGAUCCUAUUUUGUUGGUUUCUAGGAUUGACGUAAUGAUUAAUAGGGAUAGUUGGGGGCAUUAGUAUUCAAUUGUCAGAGGUGAAAUUCUUGGAUUUAUUGAAGACUAACUACUGCGAAAGCAUUUGCCAAGGAUGUUUUCAUUAAUCAAGAACGAAAGUUAGGGGAUCGAAGACGAUCAGAUACCGUCGUAG
rnacentral:rRNA from 1 species